AGGCUCCUACCAAGUGUGUGUUCUGUGAUCGAAGUAGCAAACGUCAAUAUUCAGCCAAGUUCGUUCUCUGUAUUCGCCUACAGAAAUUUGAAACACGAAAUCUCAAGAGGCUACAAACCUUAGGCAUUACUGUCAGGAGUUACAUCUACCGAUGUAUCAUCAUAUGCUGUUAGCAUGGGAAUUUGAGGAGUACCAUGCUUCCUCCUCGAAUUAUCGAGGUCCUUAUGGUUUCCAAAAGUGCCUGUGCCGCUGCUGCUGCUACUGCUAGCUUCAUCUGCCGAUGUUCCUUGUUUCAAUCUUCUUGGAGUUGCAUCACCAGUUGAAGCAGGGACAGAUGUGCACGGAAAAGGCACCUGAGAUGCAGAUUUUGCAGAUUCGAGUUCUCGGGACACUAGGGCACCUAUUGUCCCGGUGGUACCUACUUUGAUAGAACCUCCACCGCCCCUAAUAGCUUCAAGUUUCUGUGCCAUAGCAAGCUAUUGAGAUCAAAUAAUAGGUUCUUCAAGAUUUGUUGUAUAGCC